GAUGAACGCUGGCGGCGUGCCUAAUACAUGCAAGUCGAGCGAACGGACGAGAAGCUUGCUUCUCUGAUGUUAGCGGCGGACGGGUGAGUAACACGUGGAUAACCUACCUAUAAGACUUGGAUAACUUCGGGAAACCGGAGCUAAUACCGGAUAAUAUUUUGAACCGCAUGGUUCAAAAGUGAAAGACGGUCUUGCUGUCACUUAUAGAUGGAUCCGCGCUGCAUUAGCUAGUUGGUAAGGUAACGGCUUACCAAGGCAACGAUGCAUAGCCGACCUGAGAGGGUGAUCGGCCACACUGGAACUGAGACACGGUCCAGACUCCUACGGGAGGCAGCAGUAGGGAAUCUUCCGCAAUGGGCGAAAGCCUGACGGAGCAACGCCGCGUGAGUGAUGAAGGUCUUCGGAUCGUAAAACUCUGUUAUUAGGGAAGAACAGAUGUGUAAGUAACUGUGCACAUCUUGACGGUACCUAAUCAGAAAGCCACGGCUAACUACGUG
rnacentral:rRNA from 1 species